rnacentral:rRNA from 1 species
GAUGAACGCUGGCGGCGUGCCUAAUACAUGCAAGUCGAGCGAACACACGAGGAGCUUUCUCCUCUGACGUUAGCGGCUGACGGGUGAGUAACACGUGGAUAACCUACUUAUAAGACUGGGAUAACUUCGGGAAACCGCAGCUAAUACCGGAUAAUAUAUUCAACCGCAUGGUUCAAUAGUGAAAGACGGUUUUGCUGUCACUUAUAGAUGGAUCCGCGCCGCAUUAGCUAGUUGGUAAGGUAACGGCUUACCAAGGCGACGAUGCGUAGCCGACCUGAGAGGGUGAUCGGCCACACUGGAACUGAGACACGGUCCAGACUCCUACGGGAGGCAGCAGUAGGGAAUCUUCGACAAUGGGCGAAAGCCUGACGCAGCCACGCCGCGUGGGUGAUGAAGGUCUUCGGGUCGUAAAGCUCUGUUAUUAGGAAAGAACAGAUGUAUAUGUAACCAUGCACGUCUUGACGGUACCUAAUCAGUAAGCCCCGGCUAACUACGUG